rnacentral:lncRNA from 1 species
UAAAUAUGAUUGAAACAUUAAGAAAUUAUCUUGCAGUUCUCUUUCCAAUGAAUUCAUUGUGUUUUGAGCUGCUCAAGUGUUUUUUUCAGCUGCUGAGAUUGCAAUAUCGGUUUUGGUCUUGUCAUUCCAGCACCCUACCUCAGAUAUUCCAUAUGAUGAGAAAGCCAAUGUCAAUUGAUAAAAAAUAAAGAAUUGGAGCAACAAUAUGCCAAUAACAAUUAGGUCUAUCCAUAGCUAGCUACAUUGGUAUUCCUCCUAAGCACAUUAAAUAGAAAUACUAAUCUUCAACUUGUUCUCCUCUAUUUACUGAUUGAAGGAAUUGCUUAGUUUCUGCUACUUAACAAUAAGGCCAUCUUUCAGAAAAUUCGGUAAAUUGGUCUAUUCUUAUGACAAAGAUAAAGAAGCCAUGUAGGAUGAGCGGUGUAGGAUUAAUAUUUUUAUGACGUUGAUCCUUACGUCCAAGAAUGAUAAAAUGGUUCUUACUUUGUUGCAUGAUGGUGGUUGUGCUGCGUUGAAGGUUCUGCUAAAGACACAACUUCUUUACAUAUGCUACAACUUCCUUGACCCUCUUCUCAUAGUCCACAUGAGAAAUUCCAGAGAAUAAGUGAAGUGUUUCACCGAAGUAGUUAAACAGAUUCAAAAGGCAGUUGUAAUCAGAAAAUCCAAAUAGGUAGAUUAGCCCUCCGAGAGAACCGAAAUUUGAUGUAGAGAGCGAUUCCUGAAACCUGAUAAGUGAUUUGAUUGAUCAAAUCAGUGAGACAAAUUUGAACAACAAAGUUGCAAAAUUUUACAGAGCAAGGCACAUUAGGACAAAAAAGAUAUGAAUCAAAUUUGCAACAGAGAAGGAAGGUACUACCGGUUAAAAAUCUGUACUCUUAUUCUGAUUUUCAAUGGAAAGAAAAGUUAUUCUCUAUCAGUGGGAAGAAAGUCGUGACAUAUAGUAAUACUGGAAGGAAGUGGUGGC